GAUUUGUCUCUAUGCCUAGAUUUAUACCCGAACCCUUACCGAAUUCGAGUGUCCUCGUCUAGGUAGCCACACAUACUAGUUUUUCUGGGAACCAUGGCUCCUUAAAAUUUUAAUUAUGUGUAGAUAAAAAGUUUGC
rnacentral:rRNA from 1 species